UACAGCUGCACCCAGAUAUCAUGGAAACAACUGCAGGAGGAAAAACUCAUGAACAUUAUGAUCUUCCAAGAUAUGAAAACAGUGGUCACACCCUAGAGGACUUGGUGGAUAUAACUGCAGGAGGCAAAAACUGAUGGACAGUUCUUAAAUGUGGAAACCACCUGCAGCCAACAGGACUUGGUGGAAACAAGUGAAGGAGGCCAGGAUGAUGGUUGCUAACCCUCCCCCCCCCAACACUCCCUUCAGGACAAAACAAAGUAAAUUACAGACACUCAUCAGGUCACAUAUUUUUAGAGCUUUUCUUUGAUCUGAUGCUACAGAGUCUAUAUGUGUUUUCUGACCUGACCAGUGUUUGGAUUUGAGGUCAUCUUACCUAUAUGUGGAUGCUGCAACAUGUGAUGAUUCCUCUUCUUAUAAGUUGUAAGAUUUGGAGACCAUACCAAAUGUGGAAUUACCAGUAGGCAGAUUUUGUGUGUACUUGGUUGGCUGGACAUAUUUGAGAACGAGGGAUCAU